AUGCUACCUGGUUGAUCCUGCCA
rnacentral:rRNA from 1 species